rnacentral:lncRNA from 1 species
ACACAUCGGCGACGAGUAUAUCGUACGAGUAUCAGCCUUGGCUUGCGACUGACCAGACACCAGACUGGGGCUGUCCGAGUCACAGCACAAUGUGCAACUUGUUAUGCAAAUCUAAUGGAAGUGUUUUUGGCUACUGCAAUGGUAAUACAGAAAAUGGCGGUUGCCGCUGUUUCGACAAAGUAGAACUUAAAAAU